rnacentral:rRNA from 1 species
AUGAACGCUGGCGGCGUGCCUAAUCCAUGCAAGUCGAGCGCACAGAUGAGGAGCUUGCUCCUCUGACGUUAGCGGCGGACGGGUGAGUAACACGUGGAUAACCUACCUAUAAGACUGGGAUAACUUCGGGAAACCGGAGCUAAUACCGGAUAAUAUAUUGAACCGCAUGGUUCAAUAGUGAAAGACGGUUUUGCUGUCACUUAUAGAUGGAUCCGCGCCGCAUUAGCUAGUUGGUAAGGUAACGGCUUACCAAGGCAACGAUGCGUAGCCGACCUGAGAGGGUGAUCGGCCACACUGGAACUGAGACACGGUCCAGACUCCUACGGGAGGCAGCAGUAGGGAAUCUUCCGCAAUGGGCGAAAGCCUGACGGAGCAACGCCGCGUGAGUGAUGAAGGUCUUCGGAUCGUAAAACUCUGUUAUUAGGGAAGAACAAAUGUGUAAGUAACUAUGCACGUCUUGACGGUACCUAAUCAGAAAGCCACGGCUAACUACGUG